CUAGCUAUUGCGUUCUUCGUGGGACCAGCCUAACUAAAGGCCACUGGGCUGGAAUAGCCAACGCCUUCCAACUGCCACUAAGGGAGGUUUUCCGUUCCGUGUUUGGGAUUGGCUGGGACUUCUGGUGCCUCCUGCCAAGGGUGGAGCCAAUGGUUGGGCAGCCCAGAAGGCUCCAAGCAUGCGCACUUGAGCUCGAGCUCUUGCGUCGUCUGUUCAUCAGUGCAGUUAGUUGGUCUUCAAGCUCAGUGCAAGUUGGUGGUAGUGUCCCUGUACUCCAUGUGGCCUGCUGCAUGCUCGUGCAGGGUUUUAAGAUCGGGUCCUGAGCUUAAAUACAUUUCCCCGGGGUGUGAGGCUAGUCCCUUCCUUAUAGCUUCAUAGUCUUUGAUGGAGCUGUGCCAUCUGAGAAGCCUGCCUCUGGAUUGGGGUUUUGGGGAAGGGGGGUGGGUGCCAAGUCUCACCAUGGUGUCAUUCCUGGGUCCUAUUGUGGGGGCCCUCUUACCAGCCUGCCCUCUCGUAGUUCAGAAAGCCCUGCCGGGGCAUCUGUUUGUCCUCUUGCCACUUUGUUUCUGGGUCCUCCUUCAUCUUUCCUAUGUUCUAUCAUGUUCUGUCGCCAGCACUCUCCAAGUCUCAUUUACUACAGAUCUUUUGACACCGGUCAUUCUUUUAAGCCCAAAGACCGUUUGUGAAGUGGACAGAGCUAUAACUGCUGCUGUUUGUAGAGUUUUGUGUCACACUAUUUCCUUUUUUAACGUUUACAUUGUUGGUGAAUUUUACAUUGCGCACCCGGUCAUGCUCACUUCCCAGUCCUCCCAGGUGUGCCUCCCCACCUUGUGACCACCCCCUAAAAAAGAAAAACAACUCCAAUUUGUGUUGCCCAUCCUUACUGAAGCACAGGCAAACUCCCAGUGACCAGCUCCUUAAGACUGAAUCCCUCCCCACCCCCACCCCUGUCAGAAUGUAUACAUUUAAUACGCACAUCUUUCUAAGUGGGUUUUUACCUGGACACUUUCACGGCCUACCAUCUUAGUAAACAUUCUCUUUGUGGCUUACCUUACAAUAAUAGCACAGUUGGUUUCUUCAGUCACCAAACUCCUGACAUCAUUUCUCACCUGUUACUCUUAACUAGUCCAGAGAGGAAUUGAUCGUCAGACAGCGCAAAUUGGAUAAAGAAUGUUUUUCAUUUUCCUUUUUAUAAUUUCUAUUCCCACCGUGGAAGUGCGUUAAAGAUGGCUUCCACCGCAAGUGAGAAACUGUGGGAUCCGGCAAGACGAUAACUCUUUGAUGAUCUCAAAGAACUCUCUCUCUCUCUGCCUUCCAACAUCUCCUACAUUGUGAUUUCAGCAAAAAAGAAAAAAGAGGAAAAGAAAAAAAGAAAAGUAGGCUAGCCAAGAUGGCCAAGCGUGACAAUGGUGUGGAGAGGCCUAGCAGUGCUUCUGACCAUGGUUUGGGAGGCAGAGAAACCUGAAGGAUUCCUUAGAAGUCUCCAGCAGAGGGUUCAGCCAGUCCAUCUUGCUCACUUGUGCUUGUAAACAAAACAGUAUGAAAUGAGUUGGGAGCAGAUAGGCUUUGUCACUGAGGGCUCAUCUACAGUCUAUCCCCUGACUAUGUCUGGUCUUUAGGCUGCUUCCUCCAUUUUAUUUGUAAAUAUGAGGCCUAGAGUCCCAGCUCACUAAAGUGUGCGAAAUGUUUGGAAAUGUCUGGAGACUUUGAAAUCAGAAGGGAUCAGCUUUUCUAUUAUCCCCACCUGUUAAGUGUGUAUGCAACCUUGGGUAAAUUCUGGAAAGGCAGAGAGCCUCCUAUAGGUUUGCACCCACAAUGUAACAAGAACCCUGUGAGGAUUACCCUCACAGCAGGAAGGAGAGCAAGUCCUCAUUCCUGCCUCCCCUCUCUAAGAGUAACUGUAGCUUCUGAACCCCAGGGCUGAGCUGAAUGCCCCUACACCUUCCAGUCCUAGGACUCCAGGGCACUUAACAAAUCUCAUCUCUUCCACAGCAAUAAGGCCCUACUUGGGAAGACUGUUUUGUCAGGGACCUUUGGCCAAAGUUCUUCCUCCCCAACAGGAUCACAUACCUCCAAGACCACUUCUAAAUACCCUGCCCUCUUUUCUUUCCCUGGUUGUAACCCCAAUGGGUACCUUUCUACUGUGGCCCUCCCCUCACUCUCACAAACACAGACCCUAACAGACUUUGGCAGUACAGAGCUCAUUACCUGCUGCAAAGGUGAUUCCCUUUCCUGGGAGUCUUACAGUCAAAUGUCACCCCACUUCAUCUUUGGGGCUUACUUCUCCCUAGCACUUUUGGGGACAGGGACAGCUUCUUUACCCUCUCCAAGUCCAAUCUGUUCCCUCGUGUCCUCUAAAAGGUCUGUUGACAGGUGUGUUAAGUCUGAGAGGGGCACCUCCGGGUGUGCGGAGAAGCCGAGUACUUGCAUUCCCUGUGACAAAUGUGACGAUUGAUGGGUGAAAAGAAGUGAUAACUAGUGGGACCGGAGACUAUUUCAGGUUUUUUUUCCUGGUAAAACAUGUAUUCAAUCGUUUCUAUUGCAAGUGUCAGGAACUGGAGAGCAUUAUGGUGAUAGAAAAAUACAUGACUUGUAAAGGAACGAGAACACACUGAGGAGAAGGAAAGUCAAACUUUAAGGGUAUAGUUAUCAAAUAAAUGGUAAACAGAAGGCGGGAUGAAAGACGUAGAAAACCAUGUAUUGAUUUCCUGACAUUGCAAACAGCUGGGUUUUCCUUUCAAAAGAACUUGGGAAUAGGUCAACUUUGAGAAGAGCUAUAGUUUAAAUAAAAAUGCUUCUGAAACAAAAUAAAUGAACAAGAGCAAAUAUGCUUGUAUGCACAUAUACAAGAAGAUGGGGAUCUUAGGGUAGGAUGAAGAUACUAUAUCCACAACUUACAUACACAAGACAGCAUAUCGGCUACCUGUAUUACCCAAAACUGUUUUUACAUUCAAAGAGCUUUGGAAGGAACAGGGAAGAAGCAAAAGAUAGAGAUACGCAUAGUCAGCAACAUAUACACGGGAUAAUUUGCAAGCUGAGAAGUUAUGGGGUUGAGAGGGGAAGCAGUUCACAUAAGAUUGGCUUUAUCCAGGUCUCUUGCCUUAAUUGGAGCCACCAGAAUGGUCCUUGGAAGAGUCCCUACCCAACUUCAUAAAGCCUGGAAGUCCCAGGGAAAACAAUGUCUAAGGAUUUAUAUCUAAUGAAGCCCACAGAUCCUCCAAGUGAAGGAGAGAAGGGUCCAUAUUCCAAAGAAUGAUGAAGGGUGGGAGCCAUCAGUAGGGAAACAAGUCUUGAGGAUGAGUUCCGUUGACAGGAAGGACGUGUGGAAGAGACAAUAGGCAACACAAUACACACGGAGGUUUUUCUUACUCUAGGACUAUGGGGUGGAGUCAUGUAAGGAAGCUGUGUAGGGCUCAAUGAGCAGAAAUCAGAAAGUGGCUUUUGUGUGUGUGGGGGUGGUGGUGGUCAAGUUUUCCUAUCACUGGGAAUGGUGUUUGUGGAGGACAGGGCACAGCACUUUUCAGGGAAACCCAGAUUUCUUAUAGAGGUGGUAUGAUAUUUAGUGACUAAAGCUUGAGGCAGAUGUAAAAGCGUUUAACCCAUUCUACAAACAUAAUACAUUCUGAUAAAGUGAACAUUUUAUCUCUUGGAAACUAGAAAGGAAGGGAAUGGGGGAAGACCAGGGAAUGAAGCUUAAUGGCAACCUAAAACAUUGGGCUUGAUAUCCAGCAUUGGAGGGUGCAGGGGAGAAGCAAAAAUAUAGACACAUAUAUUCAACAAUAUAUACAGGAAAGUUGGUAAGUUGAGAGAGGAAAAGGUGUCCCAAAGGUUAGCAUUCAGUAGAGGAGAGGAGAGGAGAGAAUAUAAGCACAGUGCCAGGCAUGGGAAUGAAGGGUGCAGUAUUGGGAUAGGGAAAGCAGCAAAGCCAUCAAAUGGGCUGGGGCUUCUAGAGACUGUGCACCUCCUGGACAAAGGGAUAAAAAAGCCACAGUCUAGAAUGUGAUGAGGAAUGAGAGGCAGAAAGUAGAGAGUGUCACAUGUCACAACAGGCCACCAACAUGCCAGGUCUAGGAAACUUCUGACUUAACUGACCCGUGUAUCCUCUUCCAACUUGGGGGUUGGCUUUCUGGCCACAGCAGUCCUUCCUUCCCUUUCUUUAUUGGAAAUUGAAGUAGGCUCUAGGCCAUGUUCCAAAGGAUCUGACUGGAGAGGCAGCUUUAGAAAAGUAACUGAAAACGUUUUGCUCAGGAGCAGCUGGGUGGCACUGGGUGAGAGAGUCUUAAAACAAACAAACAAAAUGUCUGUGUCCCAUUUUCCUCAACUGUAAAAUGAAUUAGCAAUGCCAAGAGAGGCCCUAGAGAUGUUGGACAGGUAAAAGGAGGAGCUCCGUAGAUGAAGACUGCAAGGUGUUAGCUGAUUCCUGGUUAUCAAUGUUGAUGACAUCAUUUCUUAAUCCAGUCUCUCAGCCACAAUCCCGGGACCCAUUGUGAUGUCAUAUACUUUCAAAGACCCCAUGACAGCUUCUCUUACUCCCUGGAGAGAAGAUGACUUGGAACAAAGGGUCUAAAGACAAGUGUGAGCCGUCUGGGAGGUGUCUGUGCCGGAAGCCUCCUGCUCCGUGAAAGCUCGCCAGCUCUGCUGUACUCUUGCAUCACUGAGUUAUACUGCACCAGAGUUGUUGGUGUCACCUGUAGGACUAACUUGGACCUUCUUUCCAAGGCUGUUCUAAAGGCCAGCUAUGCAAUAGGGAAGUCUAUUUGGGGUGUUUUCAUGACCCAUUAGCUGCCCCCGUCCCCUCUUGCUUGUGGGUGGUCACUAAAACCUGGGCCCUCUUCUUUCCAAAUGUUAAAAUCUUGCUUUUUCCUCCUGCUUCUUCUGUGGGGUUCGCAUGGCUCAUAUCAAAGGUAUGAAAAAGUCUGAGCUUGAAGUUGUCCUCGGAUUCCCACUACGUAUUCCCACGUUAGUAGGGAAUCCCUUCACCCUCCCCUUGAAGAGAGCCCUGAAUGACUAGAGUUUCGUUUGUGUGGCAGAGGGUUCCUGCUUGCUGGGGAAGACUUUUGAAGACAACCUGAAACCUGAUGGAGGCUGAUGCUCAAAUUGAGGAUAUACCAAAUGUCACAAUGGUGGCUUCUAUGGUAUGUGCAUUUUUUCCUUCUUAUAGAACAAAAUACUCAGAAUAGGAAGAGACAAGAUGGAGAUCUGAGUUUGCUGGAGGAAGGGAAAAUAUUGUAGACAUUAAAAAUUGUGGACAGAAGUUUCUGGAAAGUUCCUGGAAGGCCAAGACUGAUGCCAGCCACAGCUGCAAGCCAUUCCUGCUCUUGGUUCAAAUCCCAUGAGGAGCUUCAAUCUCCUCUGAUCCUCUUGCCACUCAACCCAUCCCCAUGAAGGUUGGCCUCCAUGAGAGAGAGAGGGGCACACUGGAGGUAGUUUGAGUGCAGUCAGGUUAGAAAUGAAAGAAUGAACUGCCAGACGGCUCUUGCUGAAUGGGUGGCCAUACCCAGCACCACUGUCCAGAAGCCCUAAGACCCUUGAGGAUUUUUAUGACUCUCAUGGGGAUAUCUGAAUGCUGAGAGCUUGUUAAUUAGUGUAUGGGUCCUCCACUCUGGUCUUAGACCCAGACCUCAAGAAAGUGGUUUCUUCUAGAAGUGUCUAUUGUGUUGACUACAGUUGGUUUAAAGGGGCAGGCAGAGAAAAUUAAGUUCUUACGGAACCUCCUACCCAAAAGGGGACAGCCUAGAAAAUAAUAUCCAACUAACAACUCAGAAGGCUUAGUAGCUGAGAACUUGAACUUGGCCUACAUCAUCCUAUAGAGGAUGUGGCUUAAAAGAUAAGCUGACUGUAGAGUGAGUAGUGCGAGAAUUCUGACGAGAGGCAUAGGCCACAGACAGUGGAUGAGAGUUCAAUUUCACACUGAGUAAUGCAUUCAGAGUAGUAGUAAAUCUUGGACAAAGAUGAUUCCUUGUGUCUUCGGGGAGCUUCCGGUCUUCUGGCUACAGAUUUACUAUUUGCCAGAGUGGGCUGGGGCCACCAGAAGACAGCCUUAGUUUCCCAGCUGCCUUUGAAGCCCAGCCUGGGAGUGUCUUGUGUCCUGUCUCUUCAGGCCUCACUGCCCUAACAAGCCUCAUGGGUAGCUUCUGUCUCAUUUCCUUUCUGUCCCUCUGCUGUCUAACUGAAGCACAUGCUUCGAUGACACAAUGCCACCACCACAACCAGGACUGGGAGUGGAUAACAGUUUGCUUCUGACUUCAGUCUCUUGCUCAGUGGUACAAAUAACUUUACUUUCAAAUACGAUAAGAGAGUUUGACUUUAGAGUUCAACUGUUUUGAGAACUACAUGACUCUCUGAGGACUAUCUCACAAUGUCUGACAUGCCCUUUGUGUUGGACCUUGGAAUCAUGGAUGUUGCCCUGGAUCUGGGUGUGAGACUGUCGAUAGGCUGGAGUUGGGGGAGUCCUAAAACAAGACUAGACAUUGGAUCUGAGAGGAGCCUUGUGGCAGCUGAAUGCCCUUCUCUAAAAGGAAGUCAGGAAGUGACCAUGAACAUAGGCCCCUGAUCAUAAGUGGUGAUGAGAUUUGGAUGAGGCCUGAAACAAAGGAGAUGAGGCCAGUUUGAAAGGACAGAGUGUUAGAGUCACUUCCAGCCCAACUAGAAGUUCCCAGUGAGAGUCGUGUCCUCUCCACUUGGUUCUUAGAUCUCUGUGUUGAGCACAAGUUCAGAGACCCAAGAGAACAAGCAAGAGCAACAGAGAAGGGGGUGUCAGUGUACGGGGGGAGGUGACACACAUUAGGAGAGAGUGCUGGACAAGGUUAAGACUGAAGGGAACGGGGACAAGGCUGGCAGAGCCCUCAGCCCGGUUUUUAGCACGGCAAGGAACACGGGAUGCUCUUCUCUUUGUGUCUCCCGCUCUUCAGCUUGUUUUCCCUCUCCCAACUUCAAACCCAUCCUUACCAGCCCACUGAUUCCCUUUUUGCUUUAAACUCAAAACUCUUGCUCUUUGGAGAGUAACUUACUCUUGGGAGAUUAGGAUGAGGAUGAGUUUCAGUUGCAAGGAUAGCUUGUUGACCUCAGGAACCAUACAUUUUGUUGAGCCUCCUGAGAGCCCAUUAUUGAGGUACGUCCUUACCCUGUUCCAUCCCCAAACUGAGCAGGCUCUGGUUAACCCAAGUCUAAGAAAAGGUCUGAAAAGGUUUUAGACUUUAUGGACUUGAGAAAAAUCAGUGACUAGAAAAUAGUUCCAAUGUGUCCAAAUGUAGCAUCUCUCCAGGUUGGGAUCAGGGCCACUCUAGAGAUUAUCAGUGUCUUUUGGAGCACACACAGAAUGAUGGAGAUGCAAGUGCUACCUAAAUGCCAAGAACAAUGAUGAGGGCCGGACCACAAGGGCCGGAGAUUUGAAGCUGUGGAGAAAGCUACUGAAUUCCUUUCUACAUCCAUGGGGUACUGUACACAAAACAGUUCCCUUUCAAAGAGAACUUAGGAAGCAGUUCACCAAACCAGGAUGUGAAGAUACAUAAAACAGUACCAUAUGAAUGAUACAGAUAACUGUGUAUUAGUUCUGUUGCUGUCAUAAAAUACCACAAGGCAACUUGUGUGUGUGUGGGGGGGGGGGUAGGCGUCUAUCUGAGCUUACAGCUUCUGAGUCCAUCAUGGCAGGCAGACGUGGCAGUGGGUGGCAGCCAUGAUGUGGCAGACUUAGGAAGCUGAGUAUUCACAUCUUCAAUGGGGAGAGAGAGAGAGAGAGAGAGAGAGAGAGAGAGAGAGAGAGAGAGAGAGAGAGAGAGCCUGAAGGGGCAUGAGUCUUUACCUUCUCAAAGCCUAUGCCCAGCAACGUGCUUCCUCCCGCAAAGCUGCACCCUCUAAACCUCCUCAAACAGUGCCACCAACUGAGGACCAAGUAUGCAAAUAGUGGAGCUCCUGGGAGACAUUUCUCUUUCACACUAUCACAACAGUCUCUUCUGGAGACCAGAUCUCUACCAUUUAAACUGAGAAGCUUGGAGUGUCUGGCUGUAACCCACUGCCUUAAUUUAAUCCCUAGAAGGAGCUAAAUCUGAAUGUCAGAAACCAUCAGCCAAGUGGCUCAGCUUCUCAGAGCCUCUUACCACUUAGAUCUGGGGUUCUGAAAAGAGGAAAGGCCUUUCUAUGCUGCUUCUUCCUCAGACUGUUUCCCUCCCCCAGGCUUCUCAGAACCCUCCCCACUCUCAGAGGGUCUGAGUCUCAGGCACACGGCAAAACCUCACUGCCCAAGACCAGAGGCCACAACUUCUGUCUGCCUCUUGUCCUGCACCAAAAGUGCAUGUCCUUUCCCUAACACUUUGCAGUGCUUUAGAAAAUGAAUUUCAACAGAGAUGGCAAGGUAUUUCCUGAGGCCGGAAUCAAGGAUGACGGAGACAUGGCCCUGCCAUGUGAACCUCUUUGGAGGUAAUGGAACUGAUCUCAGGGUGAGGUUGGACCUUAGGAAGUUGCUUAGUAGCCUCUAAAUGAAAGCUAGUUAGGGGCAUUUGGUACUGUCAGCUAUCAGCUUCUAGGGAAGAGACCGUCAGAGGGGAUCUUUUGGCUCUAAGGAAAGAUGCAUUUUGGGUUCCUAAACGAUAAAGCCUGGGGAUGCCUCUCUUAUGAUGGGGCGAAGGGGUACCUACAAGGUUAGAUUGUCUUCCAGUAACCAGUAGAUCUGAAGAGCAAUGAGAAAGAUCCAAGGAGAUGGGGAAGGUCACAGGUAUGGUCACUUUGGGGGUGGGGGUUGUGCACGUGUGCACAUGUGCAUAUGGAGAUCAGAAGUUGAUAUCGGGGGUCUUUCUCAAUUGUUUCCCCACACUCACUCUUUUGAGACAGGGUCUGGGACUCAUCACUGGCUACGAUGACUGUCCAGCAAACCCCAGGGAUCUUUCUUCCUCUGCUCCUCAAUGCUGGGACUAUAAAUUAGCAUCCAGCUUUUUAUGUGGGCACUGGAGAUGCGCUCAAGUCCCUCGUGCUGGCACUGCAACUUAGUUAACUGAGCUAUCUCCCCACCCCUGCACAUGGUCACUUCUCAUCCACGGUGGGAGUGCACGGAGAAAGGGUGGGAGUGAAGAGGGGCCUUGCCCAUGGCAAAGUCUGAUUGUGCUUAUCUUGGCUACUCGUCCACCCACCGGCUCCCCCCUAGGGAUCCUACCUUGCUGAAAAGAAAACAACAACAACAAAAAACAAGAUACAAAAUAAUUGACCAAACCAGAAAACAUUAGGGAACUAGAUUAACUAUGCAAGAAGUGAGGGAGAGAGUUACAAAUGUGUAGCCAGAAAAUAGGGGCAUGAAGUAAAUCCUGGAGAAAGCCCUCCAGGGCAAUGAAGUGAUGCUAAAUUGAAGAGUGAAGUGUUCCCUGAAAGAAGGACAAAAGCAAGAAUAGGGGAAAGUAAUGCCAAGGUCAGGAGAAGCCAUUCAACGGGAACAGGUCUCACCUUUUAUUUCUCUUUCUGCUCCCUACGCCUUCCUCUGGACCCUCAUGCUUUAAUGCUCAAUCAAGUCAACAUUGAGAGCCUGACUCUAGACAGAGUGAGGCCAGAAACAAAGGGAGACAGGAUGAUGAGCCUGACUCCUUGCUCCUAAGUCUCCUUCCUGCUUAAGAGUUUUGCGGAAUUGUGAACUUGAGGGUGUCCUACACAUGGCGAGGGUCACAACAACACACCUGUAUCUCUGUUGUCCUUUUCUGGGACAUGUUGCUGUCUGCCCUCAUAUCACAGAGAGAUUGACAUCAGUCAUCCACCAUUUGUGUCUACAGCUGCCUAUUGGUUGAGACUAGUCUAAGGACUAUUUUAGGAGUCCAGAGAGGUAGGUAAUGGCUAAAGAUUCAGACCCAUAGUAAGUCUCUGGCUUGACCAAAAGUAUAAGCUGGAUGUUUUUGGAUUGCUGGGCCAGAGGCCAUGUCUUCAUACAUGCCCAGGUAUUACAGGAGGAAGAACAGUGUCUCCUUCACCUCUCCAGCAUCAGUGUCUAGUCAAAGAAUUAACACAUGCAAAUGGGGUGGGUUAGUUAGCAAACAUUUAACAAGAGACAUUUACCACCAAAUGGCAGGUCCUGGUCCCAUCUUCUGUGGAACUUGUCCCCUUUGUUGUUGAUGGCAUCUCCUGGCCUCCAUUGACAGCUUUUCCCACAAUGUGCCCUAGAAUCUAUGAAGGCUGGGUGCUAUAUGCCAGGGGUAUCUCAUGAUGUCAGCAGUUUCCAGAGCAAGCUCCUUUCAGGGACACUGCUCCACUAGUUGGCCUGACAUAAUUCCUCCUGAACUAGCAGACUCCUAGUCUUGGCAAGAGACUACCUAAGUAGAAAAUACACAACAAGAAACCUUCCCACACUUGCCUUCCCUGGUUGUCACCCAAGAGAGGAUUAGGGUCAGUCCUUUUCCUGCUACCACAAGGGCAUGUCUGGAAUGACUCCAGAAUCUUGGAGAGGGGUUCUCACUCUGCCUCCUUUUCUAUACACCACUCUCUCCCACCAUUGGCAUCAUGGCGCUGUAGAUAGAGGGGCUUUUUCUCUUGAGCUUCUAUGAAGUGUGGUUUAUUCCCCCACUCACCCCAGGCCUCUCUCUCAUCAAUGCUAAAGCACUUCCCAAGGCCUCCAUUGACUGAGCAAGUGCCUUCACGUUUUGCCUUGGCCUCUCUUGCCAAAGCCCUGGAGAGGUGCCAAGCAGAACACACCAAGAUUUUUUUUUAAAAAAAAGAUCUAUCAUCCCUCGUUUUGACAUUCAGCCUGCUGCCCAAGAAGAGCAUGAUGGCCAAGGGGAAUAUUGCCCGGGUCUCCAGGGACUUAGUCAGUGUCUUUAUUCAGAAAUAAGGAAACCAGAAAUACAGAUGGACUGUGGGCAGUUUUCCCUGCCUGACUUGGGGUAUGCCAAGCUAUAUCCCUAGAGCAUGGUUGGACCCUCCCAACCCUGAACUUCUCUAAAUGUGUAACAAGGCUUUCUUGCUCUUUUACCUCCCCCCUGGUCUCUCUCUUCCAUGCUCAGCUAGCGUGUCUCCUCCUCCUCCCCAUAAUAUCUGCUUGAAGCUUUCUUGGAAAGAGACCAGAUACUUGGUACUGGAGUCAGAGAGCCCUGUGAGUUUGAGCUUUGCCUGCCAUCUGUAUCCUGGGACCGUGUGGGUUGUUGCCCAAGGUUGAUAGAGACCCACACAUCCUUCUUUCUUGGAGAAGAGCUGGUAUCUCUCUUGACAUCUUCAGCUCAUGGUUAGGUUUUGAGGUUCAUCUCUUCUGCUUUGGGACAUGCAACUUCUUUGGUUGAUGGUAUGUCUAGCCGCCUGGCCUUGGAGUAGGGUCUGCUAUAGACUUCUCUGGAGUUUUCUUGUCUCUACCGGCUCCACUAUGAUCUCUUUUGAGAUCUCCAUCACCUUGAGCCCAGGGUCUUCAUGUUUAGCUCUUCCUCUCUUGAAACAACCUCUGGUUAUUCUUUGGGAGAUAAUCCUAGAGUGUUCACUGACGGGGGGGGGGGCAUGGAGCUAGCUGAUGAUUGCUCUUUUUUGGUUGUUUAUUCUUCUAAACUAUUUCCCAAGGAAGGAUACUGUGACCAUGGCAGUAGCCUGACUUUUUCUAUUGGAGAAAGGUUAACGUCUGACAUAUGGAUGGCUUUUGGUUGGUGUGAGAAUUAGGCUCUGGUAGGAAGGGUACCUCAAAAUGAUGAUGGGGGUGGUGGUGGUGGUGGUGGUGGUGGUGGUGGUGGUGGUGUGUGUGUGUGUGUGUGUGUGUGUGUGUGUGUGUGUGUGUGUGAAGGAGGAGGUCUAGUGAUGUGUACUUUAAAUGAGGCUCAACUUUAUCUUUCCAGGGGCUCUAAGUCCAGUGACAUGGUGCCAACUGCAAUGUCUGACAACUCUGGCAGAGAUUAGGUCACUUUAGACUAUGUAAAGCAGGGAACAGAGAUACAAGCAUUUCACGUUUUCAGUCCUUUGUUAAAAGGAACACUAGGACCAGGUUCAAACUGUCAUCUCCCCUUUGCUUCUGUCCCCUUUUCAUUCUGUGGCCCACAAAGUUGGGCCUUUCUUCUCAACCUUUCUCUUUGAGUCAUUCUAGAUUUUCCUAAAUAAAGGUCAGGCAAACAAUGGAAGAGGCAAAUGUUGUUACGGUUCUCAAAUACCCAAGGGAGAAAGUAAAAAAAAGAAGCAAAUAAAAGCUUAGCUUGAGUUUCCCAGAACAGCUAGAGUGGAUAGGUUCCUGGAUGGGAAAGUGCAGGGGGGGCAAAAUGGGUCUCUCCACAGUAGUUCAGUAAAUUGCCUCUCUGAGCUUCUUCCCUUGUCUCCUUAUCUGAAUCUCUAUAAUGACCCCUAAUAUGUGUAAAGAGGAAACGACCCAACAAUCAGCAUCUGUCUGCUUGCCUGCAUUGUCAUAGAAAAAAGAGCUAAGCAAGGAAAGGGGUUUUUUAGGGUGGCAUUUUGAAGCAAGAAGAUAAAGGAUUAUCUGUAGCAACAUUUAGGGGGAGGGGGACAUAGAAUUCUUACAAGAGUUUGUCUAUGCUUGAGUGACACUGUUCAGAUCCGAAGGACUCGGUUGCUCUAGAAAAUGUUCUUAAACCAAUCCUCUGCACAUUAGCUACAGGAAGGAUGACAGAAGUCCAAGACAUCAGAGGGAGAGAAUUGUCGUGCUCCCCGCUCCCCUGACUCUUAGUGCAAUUUUAGAAGUUAGCUGAGCGUACUGAGAGCCAGCCUGGCUAGUCUCAGAUUAGACUUCAUUUAAAAGAAAAAUAUUGAUGCAGCAUGGCUGCUUUCAUAGGGAGCUCAAUAGCUCAUUUAAAAAAAAAUUAGUGAAGAAUUUUCAGGAUGCAGAAAAGACCUUUGAAAGGUAUGGCCCUGCCACAGAGCCAGCUCCAGUCCCCCAGGAGCUGCCAUGAUUCCAAGCAGCCCUCUGUGCCUCUCUAAGAAGUUCAGAUUCUCGGGGGACUUCCACAUCUCUCCCACCCCACCCCCACCAAGGAAAAGAUAGGUGAUACCACUUUGACAGCCCAUGAAUCACUAAUAUGGGCCUUCUGCACCUUUACAGGGUCUUGCUUGGGGACCUCCCACAGUUCACUGCAGAAGGUAUUCUAGAGUGCCUAGAAUGCCCUCCCCACCCAUCCACACUCCCUCCAAAAGACCACUGCAUCCCACAACUUGCUCUUUACUGAGUGAGGAAACACAAAAUACAGACAUUGGUUCUAUUCCCUGUAUACCAACCUUCUGAUUCAAGCGGUGUUCUCUCAACCUGGCAAAAUCCGUCCCAAGUUGUUUCUUUAGACUGACCUGUGUCACCCACCAAAGGUCUCUGAGAUGCUCUCAUAGGAUGUGCUAAUGGCCUUGACCUAUGGUUUCCCCUCGAUCUUUAGGGAGGUUAUGCCUUGACUUUUGACAUCAUUGAAUUCAUAAAUACAAACCAGGAUUCCAUCCAAUUCGGCCACGUUCUUUGAAAAGGCGACCAGAGUUUUGUUGGAGGUGCUCCUAGAAGUUGGCCCUCUAUUGCUGGGAGGUUCGGAGAUCUGUGUCCUUUCCCUGCCCCCUUCCCAUUUUUGAUGCUAUCUCAUUCUUCACAGUCACCUCUCCUGUGCCCAGAGUCUUUGAGUUAGCCUCACGCAGUUAUCAAAACUGGCUUUCACCCCUUCCCCACUUUAGGGAAGGGACCAGAUAAUUAAAGGGAAACACACCUGUUCCCGGAGCAUCUUCAUCCCCAACCUCUCCCUUAUCCUGCCGGAGCGGGAGUUUGGUGAUCAGCAGCCAGGCCUGAAGUAUAUAGGAGCCUGAGAGUGAUGAUCUUGGGGCAAAUGAAAAUGAGUGCACUUCUCAUAUCCCUGACUAUGGGUGCAUCUCUGGGGCAUCUCUUUGCUUUGGUAUCUGUCCCUCUACAAGGAGAGGGACUCAAAGGUUAACAUGGGGCCCGGACUAGUGGACAGCUUGUGAUUUUUUUUUAUUUUUUUUAUUUUUUUAUUUUUUUUAGUGAAAUAAGGAAGCUUGCUGGAUUGUCUGGUUCCUUAGCCCUGGUUCAUGUCUUCACUGCAGUGCUUGGACUCUGUUCACUUCUCCCUGAGAAGAAAACACUCUCAGCUCUCCUCUGGGGUCAGGACAGGGUGGGACAGGCUGGGACAGGGUGGUGGGGUGGGAGGGGAGUCUGCCCCAAAAGCUGAUACCCUUUAUCCACAGCCACACUCAAGUGUUGUCUCUCCACGCUGGUGUGCACGUGACAAACCCCACAGUUAUUGGUAGUGUGACCUGCUUGGGUUUGGUUACAAACAUUCAGGAAAAAGUCAUGGAGAUCAUGUUUGAAAUCUCUCUGCUUUAUCCAUGGACCUUCUGUGUGGCCACACUGUCCCUGUACAAAUAACUAAAGUAAUUUGCUCUCUCAAUUUCGCGGCUGGCACUAAGAUCUGGGGAGAAGUUCUGUCUUUUUAACACUUUGAAAACUACCUCUCCUUGGUCCUUUGGAAUCCAGUAAUAAGGUUCCUUUUUUUUUUUUUUUCUCUCUCUUUCAAAAUUUUUCUUGGUGCCAAAGUAGGGACAUUCUAGUGAUUGUGUGAUACUGUUGAUUGGGAAUAACUCCAUAAUUAUGUGCACUUAUGAGUGUGGAUCUAAGCCAUUCACUUUGCUGACUCACCCCAGGGGUGGCUGAAGAGGAGAGCUUACUCAGCCUGUUGUGGAAAACAUGUCCUUGUAUGAAUCCCUCUCUCUGAGGAGCCCAGAAGAAAGGGACAAGCUUGGGCUGCCUUGUUUUGUUUCAUACUCUUCUUCUUGAUUUUGCUCUUUAAAACAUUUUCCUAAGGCUCAAAGAGGUCGGCACCAGAGGGGGUGGGGUAGGGGGUUAGUUUUCCAUUACUCUGGUCACAACAGGUCAGAGAGGGAGCUGUGUGUGGAUUGGUUGGUAAAGUGCCUGGCUUAGGACAAAGGUCUCUUUUCCUUCAGGUUUUGCCACUUUGCUGGAAGAGCGAAAUGGUCUCCUAAACAUUUUGAUCUUCUGUUUGUUUCCUCAUGGGCAAGCUUGGAAUAGCUCAUUAAUUAACUACACGGCCCCUGAGAGUAAAGCAUUCCAAGGGUCUGCAGCUUGUAGUGUUUGUUUUAUUAUACAGGUCCUCUGGCCUGAGGGACCGGGUUGGCUCACACCUGCACUCCUUGCCUGCUCAGUGGCUGACACUAACAUCCCUGCUGCCAAUACUGACGCUUCUACUGCUUUUUUCAGUGUCUCCAUAAAGUUUUAUUGGAAGACAGUCUUACACAUGCGUUUUCAUUAGGUUGUUUGGGGACUCUGAGCAGUGGACUAAAGAACCCUCUGACUCAUGAAACCCAAAAUACUUGCUGCCUGGCCCUGGAGAGGGAAGUUUUACCUAUCUGGGGUAGAUGGUGGUAAGGGCUAUGAAGGAAAAUGAAGCGAGGAGACGAGGUGCAGGAAUACAGGGCAGGAAGGCUGCAUCUUGUCAGAAGUCACCAGGCUGGUUCAUAUUGAGAAAAGCACAAACGAGCAAGAGGGUCAUGUCAAGCAAAACCAAGGCAUCACAGUGGCCUGGUGACUGACACCAACUCUUGAUUUAAAUGGUGGGACGGUUGAUCUCAGGCACCUUGGAGAAGCCAGAAAAUCCCCUUGUAAGGAAGAUAGCCUCCUCCCUGAUGUCGUGGUUCUGUCUCGACAGGUGGCUUUGGGUUUUGUUUGUACCACAAGGCACUUCUGGCUUUCUGAAAGGCAGGUUCCAGUCACACCACUCUGGCUUCCUUGACAGAGCCACACAGCACCUGGGGGUAGAGGCUAUCAUCUCCAAACACAGAGAAAAAAGUCAUCUUCACGGUCCAGCUGAGACCUAGCCAGCAGUUUUGUUGCCAGCUAACUUUAGAUCCAGGACUAUGAAGCCAUACUGUGUAGAUACUACUAGGCUGACUGUGGUCUAUAAAACCCCAGAAGCUGUAUACAGACAGAUGUGUGUAGGAACUGUGAAGAGAGAUUAGUUUUCUUCAGAAAACAAAAAACCAAGACUUGAAAAAGUUUUAGCACUAGAACUUGGGAUCUGAGCCUUUGACGUCAUCAACAGAAAUCCCAACACUGUUCUAAAGUGACUGUAAGGUUCCACAAGGGACGUGAGUGCCCCCCAGUGGUGGGACAGACGGUGUGUGAUGGGGUGGAUACAGAGACCCUGAGACCUGUGCCACUGUUCAUGUGCACACGUGGCAGGCAGACACAGCACACUGGUUGUUGUUAAACUCUGAUCAACUGCCUGACUCUCUCUGCAAAGGCACCUUCAUCUCGCUGCUCUUCGAGGGCCUUCAUCUGUAAAAGCAAGGGUUGACCUGGUUUUCUUCCAGAGUCCCUCCACACUCUCUAAGGGAAUGGGUAAAGCACACCUAGACCCCAUACUCCCCCCCCCCCCCCCCAGUAAAUAAAAGAUGCGAGAGGGAAAAGCACCUUGGGCACAAAGUCUCUGGAUCCUUUGGCCUGUGUGUUCAAUGAUGAGGUAUAUUAUUUUUCAGGAAGCUCCAUUGGGCAGGAGGCAGGAGACCGAUCCAAGAAAGGCUGCUGGAGAAAACAUUAAUCCUCUGCAACUUCCCCUGCCCCAACUCUGGGAGCAGAGGCCAAGGCUGGCAUUGCUGCAGGCUUGUGCCUGUCCCACACCAACCUAGGCAGUCAGUGACUGAGUCGGAAGAGCCUUGCCUGGGUUUUCAGAACUGCAUUACCUACACGGAGGCGCCUAUGGAAAUCCCUGGUGCCUUUGGUCUUUGAGCACCUUGCUCCCCAGCCUUAAGGGGGAAAGCAGAAAUGCAAUCAUACUGGCUUGUGUUAGUGAGGUCCUCUACCGUGAUUUUUUUUAAAAAAUACUUUACAUAUUCAUACUAUUCUGUUUUUGAAAACUUUAAGGUAACUUUGGUAUUCUCACUGCCUAUUGUCACUUAAGACCCAAAAGUUUACAGGAAUAGAUGGGUGUGGAUACAUUCUAUGAGGAGAAAGUGUAGAACACGGCCGUUAAGGGAGGGGGUUUGGGAAUGCCAGGACAGCGAAGGGAGUGUGCGCCCACCAGGCUUUGCUGUGCAAGUUGCCAAGAGCUCACCCGCAGAACCGGAAGUGGAAGCAUCCAUUGCCCUGUGCUGCCGUCAUUCCUAUUCCGUCCGGACCAGAGAGAUGGAACCCCUUGGGAGUUAUUAUUUAUUAUUUAAUAAUAGAUGUUCAUAGAGUCUCAUGUGAAUGUCAAGACACCAGCAGGAAUUUAGAGUAGCAGAUAAAAAAAACGUUGCGUUCAUGUCCUCCCUGCACCCCACAUGGAAGCAAUACUGUGUUCUUCACUCAAUUGUAGAUGUCAACUUGUUUAGAUGUAUAACGCUUUUUAUAUGCUACCCCAUAAAAUGCUGAAUUGUUUGAUUGCUGCCCUGCUGCACUAGCCAGUCAUGGAGAGUGAUUAUGUCCCAUAAAAACUCUUGUUUAUCUGGAACAUUAUCUCUGUUUAAAAGAGCUUUGUGCCAUGUGAAUUGAAAACAGAACUUGAAAUUAUUUCAUACAAUGUUUAUUUUUUAAUUAAGAACAUAGAAUAUUCAUUAUUUUCAGCCUCUAAAAGCAGUUCACUUUUUUUUAUUGGAUAUUUAUUUACAUUUCUAAUGUUAUUCCCUUUCCUGGUUUCUUGUCCCUAUCCCCCUCCCCUUCUUCUAUAAGGGUGUUCCCCUCCCCAUCCACCCUCCCUUCCUCCUCCCCCCAACAAUCCCCUACACUGGGGGUCCAGCCCUGGCAGGACCAAGGGCUUCUCCUUCCAUUGGUGCCCAGCAAGGCCAUCCUCUGCUACAUUUGCAGUUGGAGCCAUGGGUCAGUCUAUGCACAGUCUUUGGGUAGUGGCUUAGUUCCUGGAAGCUCUGGUUGUUUGGCACUGUUGUUCGUAUGGGGUUACAAACUCCUCCAGUUCCUUUAAUUCUUUCUCUAAUUCCUCUAAGAGGGCCCCGUUCUCAGGUCAGUGGUUUGCUGCUAGCGGUCGCCUCUCUAUUUGACAUGCUCUGGCUGUGUCUCUCAGGAGAGAUCUAUAUCCGGUUCCUGUCAGCCUGCACCUCUUAGCUUCAUCAAUCUUAUCUAGUUUUGGUAGCUGUGUAUACAUGGGCCACAUGUGGGGCAGGCUCUGAAUGGCCGUUCCUUCAGUUUCUGCUCUAAACUUAAAGCAGUUCAUUUAAAUAAACAUAUCUAUUAUCUAUAAGGCAGGGACUAUAUAUAAAUGAGACUAGAGAUAUAAAGUAGGUAAAUGAGUCUGGCGUGGGGAAUGGGCGGAGUCAUCAAGUAUUUCUCAAGACCUGUGAGGAGAUGCGUCACCUCCAAACAGGAACUGGGGUAUCAGCCUUUACAUGUAAAGAUUUUUAAAGAGAGAGUAAAGAAUGCGGGCUGGAGAGAUGGCUCAGCGGUUAAGAGCACUGACUGCUCUUCCAGAAGUCCUGAGUUCAAAUCCCAGCAACCACAUGGUGGCUCACAACCAUCUGUAAUGGGAUCUGAUGCCCUCUUCUGGUGUGUCUGAAGACAGCUACAGUGCACUCAUAUACAUAAAAUAAAUAAAUUAAAAAAUUAUAACAAAGAAUGCAUGUGAAGAAUAUAUAUGUUAUAUAUAUCUUUGUCAGGAAACACAUUUUUCAAAACCCAUUCAACAUUACAAAAAUUAAGCAUUUUCAUACCAUGAGGAGAAGCUCAACUCCAACUAGAAAACCAGUAAUUUUCAUAAGAAAAUGUACACAAAACAUGGAUAAAUACAAUUCAUUCCAACCGCAGUAAAAAGUGUGGGCUCCCUCAGCUCUUAAGAUGAAGAGCAUAUAUGGAAGAAAAUGCUUGGCUGGUGUGUGUGUCUUACAGCAUAGCUUGCCCACUCUGUCCAUGGACACCGCAUGCUUCCACCUCUUGGCUACUGUGAAUAGUCCUGGCAUGAACACAGGUGCUCAGAUAUCUUUUUAAGACAUUAUUUUUGGUUUUCUAAGAUAUAUGACCAGAAAUGAGAUUGGUGGUUUGCAUGGUAGCAUGAUUUUCACAUUUCUAGUAGACUAUAAUGUUCAUUAGUUUUUAUCACUAAAUAAUGUUGCCCAAAAACAGUUGUGUUUAUCAUUGGCUAUUGUUUAUGUUGAGAUUUCAUCACCAGUGUACUAGCAAUGAAAGAGGUGGUGUUAGGCAGCUAGACAGACAUUAGCAGGCUUGGAAGCCCUUGAGCAUGGGCCUCUCACUUUGAAACCCACCUUUCAUUUUACCAUAUGGAAAGGUGGGAGAUACGGGAGCUUUAUUGCAGCCCGGUGAGGGAAGGCUACCUCCUCUGGCUCAGAAGGGUAGAUCUGAGUUCUCUACCUCUUGCCCUAGGUGGAGCAUAACAAAGUGAAGUACCCUAAAGAUUAGAAUAAUGUCCUCCACUAAGAGCAGCCCCAAAUGGGCCUACCCAUCACCUCACCAGGAAACCACUCCUCAGGAAAGCUGAUUCACCUGACAUGCUAAGGAGACAGAGGGAAUAAUUAUCCCCUUAAUGAAAUCAUGCACUCAGACACCCUGGCUGCCCCUCCUUUGGGGCAAGUUGCUCGCAGAUCUUUUAGUGACCGCUAAGCCUGCCUGCUUUUCUAAGUUGUGGUUCAAAAAUGUAACUUUUCCUUUCUCCCCUUCUAUCUCUUCUUUGGAUACCAGCCAAAAUCCUAAAUGGGCUUGCCCUGACAUGCUGGGCUUUCUCCCUGUUUUCUCUGGAGACUCUCUUUCUGCAAUGUUUGCAGCCCCCUGUGGCUCAGCCUGACAGAAGGCCGGCCCUUUUCCCUUAUCUACCCCCUCCCCAAACUGCCAAGAUUUUUAGCUUGCCUGCCCUGUUGAUUUUCUCUCAAAUUCCAAUAAAAUGGUCCUCAAGCUUCCUUCUGAGUUGGUUUUAAGAUUAUUUUACCAGAGAAAUUAAGAACCCACAAAGGGAACUGUGAUUCCUUGGUGCCACUGGGACCUUUAAGAGGGACUGAUCUCUUGUCUUGUGAGACAUUUAAUCUCAAAAUUGGUCACAGAAAUAUAUUAGUUCUUCUGAGAGUAUAAUGUUACAAAAAAUGUCUGGCCUCUUCUGUUCCGCACUCUGCCACAUUCUUACCACAUGAUGCACCUCCCCUGUCUGGCAGGAGAGACCGCAGAUCCACCCGCAGACCCAUCUUUGGUUGCAGUUUUGGACAGAAUGACAGCUUUGGAUCUAGUUUCAUCCUGUUUACAGGAGAACACCCAAGUUUAACAGCACUAUUUGCCAACAAAGCUUUUCCUGCCCCAAUGUGUAUUUUUUCACACUUUUGUCAAAGAGCAGGUGCUGUAUCUAUUCAAUUCUACUGGCGUAUGUGCCUGUUUCUGUUGUGCAAAUGACGUUUUUGCUAGUCGGAUACUAUGUGUAAGAGAUAAGAUAUAAUUAAUGGUCCAUCUUCAAGACAAACGUGCCUUGAAGUGCAGCUAUAGGUGAAGAAGAGAACACUAGAACCCUGACGGUGAUGGCUGGUCUAGAUAGCCUCUACCCAAAGGAAGCAUUUAGGGUGGACUAUUAUGAAGAGCCAAGCUUGCCUAUUGGCUUACAAACUGACAAAAUUUAUGUCUCGAGAAACUUUAAAAUACACAGAAUGUAAAGUGUGCAGAUGAACUCACUUGUAGUCUUUGCUGAGAAAAUGCAAACAUACGUGGCAAUUGGUGUGUAAGAUUUUUACUACCAUCCCAUUACUCAGCCAAUGAGGAAAAGGAGGAAGAGAACUGGACCUUCAGGGUUAUAAAAGCCAUCCUCGGACCUCACCCAGUGCAGAUAUACCCACGUCCCAUCCCUACCCCCACCCCCACUCCUUUUUUUUUAAAGGCCAGCAUUCAGUUCUGCAGAAACUAAAAUUACCUGAUUUUUUUCUAUGUGAAGUCUCCUAAAUACAUUAUUAUGAACUGUGGGUCCCCAUUCCUUACAGACCGGGUGCUCUGUAGGAUUUCUGCAUUUGGGGAGAGAACCCCUCAUUCUCUGGGAGAGCUGAAGAUACGUCCCUCCCAUCUUUGGGCAGCAGGGCUGCCUGACUUUGGUCUUUGCACAAGUCACCAGAAAAGACCCAUGGCAAUUCUGAGAGGAGCAAACCAAUGGUAGGGCACUCAGAUUUCCAGAAGGUGCAUCUCCUCAGGAAUCACCAACUUCAUUAAUGGGGGUCGUUCUUUUGGAUAAAGAGUGAAUGGAUUUAUAAACAUCCUGCUUGUCAACAAGGAAGUCAGAAGUUUCAAGAGGAACACAAAGCCCCCUUGGAAGAUCCCCUGGGCCUACAGAACUACUAGAUUGUCUUCUGAGUCCUAGUUUUAAUAUGUGAGCUCAGCUUGUGUCCAUUGACCAUUGUUUCUCAGGAAGUGAUUAGAAGAAUGGCUUUGGUUACCUGGGAAAGACAAUGACUCAUCCUCAAGUCAUAUAGUGAAGUUUCUCAAGCAUGCAUCUUGAAUGUGAUCAUAAUCUCCAAGACAGAGCUUAGACACAAGCCCUUCUCACAUGAGUUCUUCAGGGUAUUAGGAAAUCUAGCAAAGGAGGAUGAGGAAGAUGAGGAGGAGGUGGAG
ensembl:lncRNA